rnacentral:rRNA from 1 species
UACGUAGGGUGCAAGCGUUGUCCGGAAUUAUUGGGCGUAAAGAGCUCGUAGGCGGCUUGUCGCGUCGGAUGUGAAAGCCCGGGGCUUAACUCCGGGUCUGCAUUCGAUACGGGCAGGCUAGAGUGUGGUAGGGGAGAUCGGAAUUCCUGGUGUAGCGGUGAAAUGCGCAGAUAUCAGGAGGAACACCGGUGGCGAAGGCGGUUCUCUGGGCAUUACCUGACGCUGAGGAGCGAAAGUGUGGGGAGCGAACAGG